AUGGACAGCACCGUGGACGCAAUGGCAGCGGCCUACGACGCGCUGGUGGACGCCGCGGCAGCCCACGUCCGCGAGCCCGGCCGCGCCGCCGCGGUGGAGGACCUCAAGCGCCGCCUCGACGCCUUCCACGAGUGCUGCGACCGCGCGGAGGACCUCGUCCACACGGCCGCCGCCCGCCUCGGGCCCGCCGACGCCCGUGCCGCCGGCGAUCGCCUUGACGCGCUCGACCGCACCCUGCACGCCGUCGGUGCUCCCGGUGAGGACAAGGGGAUGGCGGUUCAGGAAGAUGGGAAGGAUCCCGCGGCGCCCACUUCGCCGGUGGUGGCCGGAGCCGAGGACAAGUAG
rnacentral:rRNA from 1 species